GAAUAUUAUAUAUUGUAUAUUACAGAACGAGCCAGAAGGAGAAAUGGGAGUGUCAAAAUCCACCAAGUAAAUCAUAACAAAGUAGAUGGCAACUAAAUUGCAUUCCAGAGAAGUUUCUCGAUUUGCAAGUGGACGAAACGCUAGUUCCAAAGGGUGUUGGCUUAAGGCUCAGUCAAGAGGAAAUCGAUCGCCUAUAGAGUUCCCAGGAUGGAGGGCACCCUUAGGAUCCUUGAGUUGCAGGGGUCGAAACAUUCCCAAAGGAGUCCUAACGCAGUAUAUUCAUAGGAACGUAUAUCAGGCCCAUACGUAUGCCGACGCGCAAACGCGCAUAUACCUGGACAGCUGCAAACCGAUGCAUCCAGACACAUAAUCCGUAAGGAUAUCUCAAAUGUACAAUGCUGAGAUGGUUUCUAUGAAAGUUGAUAUAAAUUCCGAUCUAGUUUUUCUUAUUUUAAUAUUGUUUCUCAUCCCAUGUAUUCGAAAGGCGGGAAUAAACGAAAGUGGC
rnacentral:misc_RNA from 1 species